UAAAAUUAUGGCUGCUUCCCCUCAUGGUA
rnacentral:piRNA from 1 species